rnacentral:rRNA from 1 species
AGUGAACGCUGGCGGUAGGCCUAACACAUGCAAGUCGAACGGCAGCACAGUAAGAGCUUGCUCUUACGGGUGGCGAGUGGUGGACGGGUGAGGAAUACAUCGGAAUCUACUUUUUCGUGGGGGAUAACGUAGGGAAACUUACGCUAAUACCGCAUACGACCUACGGGUGAAAGCAGGGGAUCUUCGGACCUUGCGCGAUUGAAUUAGCCGAUGUCGGAUUAGCUAGUUGGCGGGCUAAAGGCCCACCAAGGCGACGAUCCGUAACUGGUCUGAGAGGAUGUUCUCGCCAUAGGGAAAUGAGACACGCUGAUAAGCCGUGCGUGAGGCAGCAGAGGGGAACUUUGGCGGAUGGUGUCAAGCCGAAACCAGACAUACCGCGGGGGUGAAGAAGGUCUUAGAGUUGGAAAGUCCUUUUUUGGAGAGGGAAAAGCAGCAGGUUAAUACCGAGCUGUACUGACGGUACCCAAAGAAUAAAGGCCGGCUAACUUCGUG